GGCUCCCAGUAUGCUAACAGACACUGUUGUCACCACAAGGAUUCAUGAACCGCACUGACUUAGAUUUUAACACUUUAAUUGAGACUUAGUCAUGUCUCAGGUUGAGAAGAAGGCAGGACUGUUGAGGAGGACGUCAUCCUCUAAAAAGCCCUUGAAGGAGAAGGUGGUUCUGAUGUAUGAUGAGAUUUUUGCAAAAGAAGACCCGGCCAAAAACAACCCUCGCUUUUGGGAUGAGCUGUUUCUCAUGAAGGU